rnacentral:tRNA from 1 species
GGUCAGGUAGCCUAGCGGUUAAGGCAGCCCAUGCGUGUUGGGUCCAGAUAUUGGAUCUGGUCGCUGGUUCGAAUCCAGCCCCGACCA